UUGAUGGCUGGGUUUCUUUCUUUCUUUCUUUUUUUUUUUUCCCUGUAUCUGUUUCAUAAAUGUGACAGGUGCAAUUUUUUCCAAGGCAAGAGGAAGAGAUGGCUUUGACCUCUGGUGCCUGUUGAAGCAUCUGCAGGAGGCUCUUCUCUGGGGACAGCACCACAUGGACUUGGCUAGAAGCUACCUCCUGUGGAAUUGACAUUCGGACCCAACAAAGGGGAAAGAGGCUGUCGCCAGACAAUUUGAUAGGCUUCUUCAGGACAAAUAGGCCCUGCCCCAGGGGCCUGAGGACAGGAAUAGCAAGUCUGGACAGACGCACUUGGCUGCAUGAAGAGGAAAAGCUGUGCAGGAUGAAUGUCACAGUAUUGCUGGCUCUUGCUUGCUGUAUUAAUUUCUCCCUUAAAAGAAAACUGACCCAUUUUUUCCAUCCCACAGCCCUAAUGGACUCGUAUUCAGAAGCCACCCUUCCCCCACAUAAAGAGCUGUAUUGUACUUAAUGAUAAGCCUUUUAGUGGAAUUUGCUAUUUCUGGAUCUUUCUCUGGGAAGUUCCCAUUAAUGAGUCUGCAAGUGCAGGGAAAA